rfam:HIV-1 isolate C-96BW04.09 country Botswana, complete genome.
CUCUGGUAACUAGAGAUCCCUCAGACCCUUCGUGGUAGUGUGGAAAAUCUCUAGCAGUGGCGCCCGAACAGGGACGCGAAAGUGAAAGUAAGACCAGAG